GACGAACGCUGGCGGCGUGCCUAAUACAUGCAAGUCGAGCGAAGUUUUUCUGGUGCUUGCUCUAGAAAAACUUAGCGGCGAGGGGGUGAGAAACACGUAAAGAACCUGCCUCAUAGACUGGGACAACUAUUGGAAACGAUAGCUAAUACCGGAUAACAGUAUUUCUCGCAUGGGAGAUAUUUAAAAGGUGGUUAGGCUAACACUAUGAGAUGGCUUUGCGGUGCAUUAGCUAGUUGGUGGGGUAAAGGCCCACCAAGGAGACGAUGGAUAGCCGACCUGAGAGGGGGAUCGGCCACACUGGGACUGAGACACGGCCAAGACUCCUACGGGAGGCAGCAGAAGGGAACCUUCCGCAAUGGGGGAAAGCCUGACGGAGCAACGCCGCGUGAGUGAAGAAGCAGUUGGGUUCGUAAAGCUCUGUUGUUAGGGAGGAAUAGAUAUGUAGUAACAAGACAUGUAAGAGACGGUACCUAGCCAGAAAGCCACGGCUAACUACGUG
rnacentral:rRNA from 1 species